UCCGAUUUCAUGGGCGUCCUCCAGAUCCUGUGGGAAGCACUCCAUCUCCCUGUCAAGGCAGGAACCCUCUUCCUCUACCUCCUCCUCCUCACCCUCCUCUCCUCCUCUCUCCUCUUCCUCUCCGCCUACUCCAUCUCCCCUCUCGUCCUUGACCUGGUCUCCAAGCUUUCUCCCCUGUUCAGGAACCCCAUCGGCCCGGAGCCCCCUAACCUCUUCCACGAAAUAGAGAAGGACCUCCGUGACAUCGCCAGCCUCACAUCCGGCGUCGCCUUCGUCUU
rnacentral:lncRNA from 1 species